CUCAGAGCCGUUAGUCCAUCGUCUGAUGCCGUUCCACAAUGAGCUACACUGACUGAGUUACUUCUGUCACUAUUUAAUGAAGAAGAAGGAAAAGAAGAAGAAGAAGUAGAAACAAUGCCCAGAAAAGCCAUCACAAACCAACCGCGGAAAUAUCCCGCCAGGCGUUCCAACGUAAUUCCUCAAGAGAGAAGGGGAGCCUGGGCACUAACACCUGUCGAACAUGAUGCUGGAAGCCUCAACAACAAUAAUACAAGUUUGCCUUCAAAGGACGAAGAUUAUUCAGACGGGCUUGAGGAGUUAGCAGUCACCGACGAAAUUUCCGUCUGUCAUUUGGAUGGAGGAACUUUUGUAGUAAAGGCCUGCAAUGGCACCAUUCUCUACUUCGCUAGGUCACCAGCACACUGGAACUCCUGUUUUUGUGAAGAACACUACGAGUAUGAAGUAGGGUCAAGGAUUCGAGUCUAUAGGCCUAAUAUCAAUCUGUGAUGCGGAUAGUGGAAAACAAAAAUGAAUACUGCGGAAUUUUAUUUUCAUGUAAAUGGAGAGUUACGCUGGUGCCGGGAAUCUAUCUUGGAGACGUCAUCGCAGACGAUUAUGUUCGAAAUUUUAAGUUAAACUAUUUAGAUGGUAAGGCUCUCUGCUAUAUUGAGAACCGUUACGGUCAUUUGUACAAGGUCCGUACGCCCCAAGGCGUCGCUGGAAGCAUUGACUUCGGAAGAAGCUCAGGCCACCUCACGGUCAAAUUCCCGAGUGAGUUCGACGUCCCACAAAGGUCUUUUCUCCUCUCUAACGCAAUCAUUUUGUUAUGCCACAUCAAGAAAACAGAGAUGAUUUCGGGGAGACGAGGAAGAUGGGACGGAGAAGGAGGAAGUGGAGGAUAUGAUGGGGGAGGAAGAGGAAGAAGAAGAAGAGGUGGAGGAG